rnacentral:rRNA from 1 species
UUUCGCAAUGCCCGAAAGGGUGACGAAGCGACGCCGCGUGGGUGAGGAAGGCCUUCGGGUUGUAAAGCCCUGUCAGGAGUUAAGAAAUGUAAGUGCGCUAAUAUCGCAUUUAUUUGACGAAGGCUCCAAAGGAAGUCACGGCUAACUCUGUGCCAGCAGCCGCGGUAAUACAGAGGUGGCAAGCGUUGUUCGGAAUUAUUGGGCGUAAAGAGCACGUAGGUGGGUUUGUAAGUCAGAUGUGAAAGCCUUCUGUUCAACGGAAGAAUUGCAUCUGAAACUGCGAGUCUUGAGUGUAGGAGGGGAGAAUGGAACUUCUGGUGGAGCGGUGAAAUGCGUAGAUAUCAGAAGGAACGCCGGCGGCGAAAGCGAUUCUCUGGCCUAUUACUGACACUCAGUGUGCGAAAGCUAGGGGAGCAAACGGGAUUAGAUACCCCGGUAGUCCUAGCCGUAAACGAUGGGCACUAAGUAGAGGGGUUUA